AUUGAACGCUGGCGGCAGGCUUAACACAUGCAAGUCGAGCGGAGAUGAGGUGCUUGCACCUUAUCUUAGCGGCGGACGGGUGAGUAAUGCUUAGGAAUCUGCCUAUUAGUGGGGGACAACAUUCCGAAAGGAAUGCUAAUACCGCAUACGUCCUACGGGAGAAGGCAGGGGAUCUUCGGACCUUGCGCUAAUAGAUGAGCCUAAGUCGGAUUAGCUAGUUGGUGGGGUAAAGGCCUACCGAGGCGACGAUCUGUAGCGGGUCUGAGAGGAUGAUCCGCGACACUGGGACUGAGACACGGCCCAGACUCCUACGGGAGGCAGCAGUGGGGAAUAUUGGACAAUGGGGGGAACCCUGAUCCAGCCAUGCCGCGUGUGUGAAGAAGGCCUUAUGGUUGUAAAGCACUUUAAGCGAGGAGGAGGCUACUGAGACUAAUACUCUUGGAUAGUGGACGUUACUCGCAGAAUAAGCACCGGCUAACUCUGUGCCAGCAGCCGCCGUAAGAC
rnacentral:rRNA from 1 species